rnacentral:rRNA from 1 species
CCUACGGGAGGCUGCAGUGAGGAAUAUUGGUCAAUGGGCGCGAGCCUGAACCAGCCAAGUCGCGUGCGGGAAGACGGUCCUAUGGAUUGUAAACCGCUUUUAUCGGGGAGCAAAAGACGCUACGCGUGGCGCUCCGAGAGUACCCGAUGAAAAAGGAUCGGCUAACACCGUGCCAGCAGCCGCGGUAAUACGGAGGAUGCGAGCGUUAUCCGGAUUUAUUGGGGUUAAAGGGUGCGCAGGCGGAAGAUCAAGCCAGCGGUAAAAUUGAGGGGCUCAACCUCUGCGAGCCGUUGAAACUGGUUUUCUUGAGUGAGUGGGAAGCAUGCGGAAUGCGUGGUGUAGCGGUGAAAUGCAUAGAUAUCACGAAGAACUCCGAUUGCGAAGGCAGCAUACCGGCGCUCAACUGACGCUCAUGCACGAAAGUGUGGGUAUCGAACAGGAUUAGAUACCCGUGUAGUC